UACAGAGGUCCCAACCGUUGUUCGGAUUCAUUGGGCGUAAAGGGUGCGUAGGCGGUCGCGCAAGUCGGAUGUGAAAUCUUAGGGCUCAACCCUGAAACUGCAUUCGAUACUGCGUGGCUAGAGUACUGGAGAGGAGACUGGAAUUUACGGUGUAGCAGUGAAAUGCGUAGAUAUCGUAAGGAAGACCAGUGGCGAAGGCGAGUCUCUGGACAGUUACUGACGCUGAGGCACGAAGGCCAGGGGAGCAAACGGG
rnacentral:rRNA from 1 species